UCUGACGUGAGUAAUAUUUUCCAAAGUUGAAUGAAUAGACAGAUUAAAAACUAGAAAGAGGGGAGGGCAGCGAUCCAACAUUUUGAAGAAGCGUGCUAAGAAUAAGCAACCACACAACUUUCGAGACAACCUUUUCUAUUGUGCGUUCUGAGCUAUUCGGAUUGCUGCGUUGAAGCUGCUUUCCGCGAAUCCAGGUGGCAGACCAAUCAUGAAGCUCAUUUACGUCUUCGUCCUUGUUCUAAUCAUCUCUGGCAUUUCAUCGUUUGCGGCCCCGAGUAGCAGCUUUAUUAGUGAGGAAUCCACCAACCACUUGAAACGACAAGUAUCGAUUCAAGGAAUCACCAAACCGCUGUGCGACAUGUUCGGCUGCAACUGCACACCACCGAAGGGAGCUAAGUGCUGCAGAGGAUAUCGCUUUGAUAGAAAAGCGGGAAGAUGCCGCAGAAGAGCUUGAGAAGGAAAGUCAAGUGCACCUCAGCAUUGUUGGCGCUCUGUGAAAGAGUCAAAGCAUCAAAUUCGUAGGAAAUGGAAAGGGCAGUGAACGCGAUAAGCAAAUCAAGAGCGAAGAUUGGAUAUUUCUACGGAAAGUGAAUCUGAAUCAAAGUGAUAUAAGCUUACCAAGUUCCUUUCAUUACAAGGAAGUUUGGCGCGAACUUUCUUUUGAAAUUUAUUUCUUACUGUGAACAAAGACGCUCCCCCUGCCACUCAAAAAAACUUUUUUCUCCAACGCUUGAUUACAGCUACUCAUUCUUUUCUUGUUUUCCACCGGUUUUGAAGUGAACUUGUCAAAAACUGAGCGCCAAUAAAUCUGAACUGUACUAUAAAUCCAAUUCAACGACAAGUCGCUUGAAGGUGUAGUUUUUGACAUCAACUGGAGAUCUAAAGCCCUUCAUUUGAUGCAAAACAAUCAGCGUCAUCUGAUUUCCACCGAAAACAAUUGACAAAAUUCAGGGACUCUUGUUCUAGAGAUCAACAUCGCUCCCUGGCAAGAAAAAUGAAACAACUCAAAAAAAAAAAAAAAAAAAAACAGCAUUGGGGAGGACGAAGUUUUACGCAUUAGUCGCUUUAAAUGCUUUAGUCUCAAAUAUAAUAGUACGCUCAAAAUCAUUAUGACUUUUCACUGGUUAGUUUUCGUUGUUUAAAUUAAUGAUGCAUAGGGUAACGGCACAAGAAAUAGCACAAAGUUAAAAUAUUAAAUCAAUAGUUAGUACGUUUUUCCGAAAUUUUGAGUUGUGUCACUGGACUAGCCAGGAUGCGAUAUGUUUUCAUAAAACAUGUGGAAAGUGUUUAGAAAAUAUAGGAAAUAAGCCUUUAUAAAUGGUAUUGGAUACUUAGUGAGAGUUAUAGAUAGUAUCUAUAUUGUUAGUUCAAUGUAUCAGCCUAGAUUUUUUUAGUUACUUAUUCGAACUGAUUAUAAAGGUUAUAAAUAUUGAAAGUUAUAAAUACAUGAGCAAGCAGGAAAAAAAAAAUCAUUUUUGCAUUUAUUUUUAUAAAUAUAUUACAAAUCUUCUAUUGGUAUUAUGAUUAAAUCUGCAAAUCAUCCGAACACAAAUAUAAAUUUAAUAGGAAUUACUGAUUUCAUAUACAUUCUUUGAUGAUUGUUAAGAACUCCGCUGAACCCUACAAACGUAUUUAUUUAUGUAUAGUCGUCAUUUUUAUAUAUUUUACUGGCGUUGUUAUUCAAACUAUAAAAGAAAAUGCUAUGCAAUGUAUACACUUUUUCUAUCUAGAUUCCUUUGUUUUUAUAAGCUUUCUUUGAAAAUUAUCAAAACUCGUAAUAAAAUGUGAAAUUAUUUUUCAUUGGACAGUACUGAAACUUCUCAUGGACUAUAUUGACAUGAUUCAGCUUAUAAUGAAAGCCUAAACCUUCCAUGGGGAGGGUGGCCCAAAGCGGGUUGGCCUUCGUAUGCCACACUCCACCCCUUCACCAUGGUGUGUAAACGGAGAUGCAUAUGUAUGUCGUGUUCACCCGAACACUCCCGAGUUUUAAUCCGUCCUAGCGAAGCAGCAAUGAAGCGGCAUGGCGCAACAAGCUCUUUAAAAAAAAAAAGAUACAUUUCUAAAAAAAAAUGAAGUUUUUGUAACUUGUGAUUAGUCGAAGACCUGCUUUUUUUAUUCUUUGACUGUUAAUAAUACUAAGUUAUUCUGACACCAUCCACCUACAAACUACAAUGGUCAUUUUGUUUGUUUCUUUUUUAAAUUUAAGGUUAUAAUUAUUGAAAUAAAAAACAUGCCUCCGGGCAAAGUGGGUAUAGGUUUUAAUCAUAUAUUUAUUUAUAAUUUCUUGACACAUGUGCUGAGUUGGAUUUUCUAUUUCAAUUGGAUAAGUAUAACUUUAAAAAGUUAUUUUUUAGGAUGGCAAUUAGUCUAUUAAUUUAAUCAGUUAUUUCUUUAUGUUUUGUAAACAAACGUGCUGACUUUAAAUUGGAUAUAUAUAUAUUAAUGGAAGGUAGCUAGUCAAUUAUUUUAAUCAUUUAUAACUUCAUUUUUGAUUGGCAAAUGUACCAAAUCACAAUUAGUUAAGCUUACCCGCUUUGGGCCCCCUGGUAGAGCAAAGCGGGCUUUUCAAGUGUUUGUAAUGUUUGGUAAUAAAUAAAUAUUGGGUUUGAAAUAAUGCAAAAAUCACUUUUUAUUUUUAAGUUUAAGAACCCUGUUAGGAAAUAAACCGAAAUUGUUGCGAGAAAAGUCCAAAACUUACAAUUUUCGAGCGUUCUUCGAAAACCUACCCGCUUUGGGCCACCCCAAACUAUACCAAGAAAAUAAUCGAUAGCCUGUGUAAAUUCAUUAGAAGUUACUUUGUCCAUGAGGUUCCUUAGUGUACUUUACAGAUUUCUUCAGUAUGUAAUAGACUUCACGCUGCUCACAAAACUAGCCGUUUUUUUAAGAUUAUAUUUAGAAAAAUUUUGUAUACUAUUUCAUGUAGACUUACCACUAGGGAUGCACCGAUAAACAAAUUGAUCGAUUACCAAUUAAUAGGCAAAAGAUAAUGCCGAUGCCGAUUAGCUACAAUGAUAAUGAUUUUAAUACUAAAAUUUUUCACAUAAAGUUUUAUUAAACUUACAAUUUUGACUUUUCAGAUUAAUUGAAAAUUUCUUUUUCUCUGUGAAUGAUGAUUUAUUUUUCUCCAUUUUCAUUAUUUCUCUUAAAAAUAAUGUUCCAAAAUUUUAUUUUAAUUCUGCAAACCAAUUUUCAAAAUUAUAUUCGGUUGUUAACAAUAUAUAAAAAUUCAAAUAAUUUAGUUAAUAUAGAACGUUGUAUAUACACACUUUCAGUUUAGUAUCGACUUUUUUACGACUAGUAGCCAUUUAACGCAGGCCUUUUAUUUUACGAAAAUUGAGGCAAUCUUAAAGCUCAUUGCUGAAAGUGGAGAAAAGUAGUGACACAUGAUAUGUGUGCAAAAGUUGUAUAGUUGAAAAAUGUAUAUAUUUUUUAAAAAAUGUAAAAAAAUAAUUAAAAAGAAUUAAAAUUCUUUCAGAGUGUUCAUAAAAUUAAAAAUAGCAAAACAUAUUUAACUAUUUUUUUCUCUAAUUAAUCGGUGAAAAUUGAUCAGUAAUGAAUAAUCAACAAAGUGGUCUAUUAUGAUCGAUUACCGAUUACCACCGAUUAAUCGUUGCAUCUCUACUUAUCAUGUACUGUAAAUUUAAAUAGAUUUUCUUUAAUAAAAGUGAAUAAAAGUUGUA